GGGGAAUUUACUCAGUGCAGGGCGGCCAUUGUGAGGUCAACCCGGAGGUGUACAAGAUGCCACAUAGGUCUGAUGACCUUUGAAGUGAUCAGCUUCAAGUGUGGAAUCAUCUUGUACCUACAGCAGGAUGCUGAGACAAAACAACCAGCCCCUUGAUGGGAACAACAGUAGCUGUUGCAAUGCUAUCUUCCAUACAGCCAAACUUAAACAGGUGACAGAGCAAAACUAUUGGCAAUGGCAGGACAUCCAACUUACUCAGGUUAUGUUAGUCAGGUCUUGAGUAUCACAGCUGUCAAGCCUCUUGGAAACCCAGACUUCGGGGACUGUGCCUCUGGUACAGUGGGGGUUUGUUCAGCUAAGUUAUAUGGGUCUGCUGGAUGUCAAGGCCACAAGUAAUGCUUUGUUCCUUUUGCUCUUGUUCCUAACGGUACUUUGCCUCAGUUUGGCAUGUUGGACUUGCAAACCGUGUCGUAGCAGCAAAGGGCAGUUCUACUUUUGUAAAUAAUGGCAUAGAAAUCCUGGGGUAUUUCAGGCGUGCCAGUCAAAACAGUGCAGAGUAUCUCGUACAAGGGUAUAAGCGAUCUUAUCCACACUGCUUGUUUGCUUGCAUUUACCUUCGCUGACAGGACACUCCAAUUGAAGUUAAGGAAACAAUCAUACGCUCUUUCUGCUUGGUGAAGGAAUACUACUGAGCAUGCUGCUCCACCACAGUAUUGACAUCUGUAGUCAUGUCAGCUUUGUGAUAGUGGUCUGUCUCCCACUUUACACCCCAAUCUGUGUCAGCUCUUUCAAGCUGUCUUCAUCCUACCAAUGCAAUUUGCCACUCAAGCAUCAGUUUACUCUUUCAAGUUUGGACUAAGGUAUUUUAGAAAGGAAUUCAUAUGUUCCAGAGUUCGAUCCAUGGGAAUUUUCUUCCCUAUAAUGUCUCUGUUGUUCACUACUCUGCUCCACACCAAACUGUGGGUCAGCCUAGGAGGCAAUAAGGCAUAAACUCUAGGGAAGAACAGCAUAUGCAUAUGUGCAUAUUUGAUGUGACCAAAGGCUUUGUAGUACUAAAGAGCCAUCCCAAAAGACCUGGAUAGCACCUUCCUUGGUGGCAUCAUCCAUGUUUCUUAUGAGGAGACCAAGGGUGGCUUUAGCAAUGUGGUAAUUGUAAACAUGGUGUAAUGCACUAGAGGCAGUGGCAUUAGUGCUUUCAUCCUUCUCCCCACAAGACCAUGUUUGCUUUCUUCAUCGGAUUUUCGGGACCCUGGCCUUUUGUAAACCUUUGUGCAGCCAAGAUUUACGAUAAUUGGUUUAGGUGUCAUAUCCUGCUGUAUGUCACAGACCGCAGUUGUCUCCUCAGCAAAGAUUACGUUGACUAUCUAUGCUGCCCUGCAGUCCAACCAGUCUCGAUGUGUUGGCUGGUAUCCAUGAUGAAUGGAGGAGGGAAGUCUUGCUGAGCUGAAGAUAAAGUACAUAGAAAAUGCAUCAAAUACUACAAUUAAAUGUUACUGAACACGUC